UUAUAGUUGCUUCUUGGUUCUUGAAUCCGCUUCUUCGUCUUCUUGUUCUUCUCCCAUCGAAUGUAAAGGAUGGAGGCUUUUUAACAGAGGCUACAUAUCUCAAAAACUCAGAGAAGAACUGACAAGGGCACUAAUGGAAGUGAAAGAUGGCAACAUUGUUGAGGGUGGAACAGAG